AAAAAAUCCUCUAAGCUUCAGACAUGUGGUGCCCGUACCACAAACCGACACAGGUAGUCGAGGAGAGAAUCCUAAGGUGCUCGAGUGAUCCGUGGCUAAGGAACUAGGCAAAUUGAACCUGUAACUUCGGGAUAAAGGUUCCCCUGUUUAUCAAUGGGGGCGCAGAGAAAUGGCCCUGGCGACUGUUUAACAAAAACACAAGGCUUUGCGAAAUUGAAAGAUGAAGUAUAAGGCCUGACACCUGCCCGGUGCCGGAAGGUUAAGAGGGGGAGUCAUUCUCAGCAAUGGGAAGAAGCUCUGAAUCGAAGCCCCGGUAAACGGCGGCCGUAACAAUAACGGUCCUAAGGUAGCGAAAUUCCUUGUCGGGUAAGUUCCGACCUGCACGAAUGGUGUAACGAUCUGGGCACUGUCUCAGCCACGAGCUCGGUGAAAUUGUAGUUCCGGUGAAGAUGCCGGAUACCCGCAACGGGACGGAAAGACCCCGUGAACCUUUACUAUAGCUUAACAUUGAUUUUGGGUAAGUGACGUGUAGGAUAGGUCGGAGACUGUGAACCGGUUUCGCCAGGAAUCGGGGAGUCAACGUUGAAAUACGACCCUUCAUUUACCUGGAAUCUAAUCCGUCAACCGACGGAGACAUUGUUUGGUGGGUAGUUUGACUGGGGUGGUCGCCUCCAAAAGAGAAACGGAGGCUCCUCAAGGUGCCCUCAGCACGAUUGGUAACCGUGCGGAGAGUGUAAUGGCACAAGGGCGCUUGACUGUGAGACUGACAAGUCGAUCAGGUACGAAAGUAGAGCAUAGUGAUCCGGUGGUUCCGUAUGGAAGGGCCAUCGCUCAAAGGAUAAAAGGUACUCCGGGGAUAACAGGCUGAUCGCCGCCAAGAGCUCAUAUCGACGCGGCGGUUUGGCACCUCGAUGUCGGCUCGUCACAUCCUGGGGCUGAAGAAGGUCCCAAGGGUUCGGCUGUUCGCCGAUUAAAGUGGCACGCGAGCUGGGUUCAGAACGUCGUGAGACAGUUCGGUCCCUAUCUGUUGUGGGCGCUGGAGAUUUGAGAGAAACUGAUACUAGUACGAGAGGACCGUGUUGGACAGACCGCUAGUGUACCUGUUGUGGCGCCAGCUGCAUCGCAGGGUAGCUAUGUUUGGAACAGGUAAGCACUGAAAGCAUCUAAGUGCGAAGCUCGUCUCAAGAUGAGAUCUCCCUUAAGGGUCGUUGUAGACUACGACGUUGAUAGGCUGCAGGUGUAAAGGUGGCAACAUCAAAGCUGAGCAGUACUAAUUACCC
rnacentral:rRNA from 1 species